GCGCGNGCNUACCAUGCAAGUCGAGCGCGAAAAGGGGCUUCGGUCCCUGAGUAGAGCGGCGGACGGGUGAGUAACACGUGGGUAACCUACCUCCGGGUGGGGAAUAACUUCGGGAAACCGGGGCUAAUUCCGCAUAACAUUUCGGGCUCUCAAGAGCCUGUAAUCAAAGCUGGGGACCCUUCGGGGCCUGGCGCCUGGGGAGGGGCCCGCGGCCGAUUAGCUUGUUGGUGAGGUCAUGGCUCACCAAGGCUGCGAUCGGUAGCCGGCCUGAGAGGGCGGACGGCCACACUGGGACUGAGACACGGCCCAGACUCCUACGGGAGGCAGCAGUGGGGAAUUUUUGUCAAUGGGGGAAACCCUGAACAAGCAACGCCGCGUGGAGGAUGAAGGCCUUCGGGUCGUAAACUCCUGUCGGAGGGGACGAAAGCGAUUGAGGUCAAUACCCUCAGUUGUUGACGGUACCCUAUGAGGAAGCCCCGGCUAACUCCGUGCCAGCAGCCGCGGUAAUACGGGGGGGGCAAGCGUUGUUCGGAAUUACUGGGCGUAAAGGGCGCGUAGGCGGCCCGGCCAGUCCCUUGUGAAAUCCCACGGCUCAACUGUGGAACUGCAGGGGAUACUGCCAGGCUUGAGUCCGGGAGAGGAGAGUGGAAUUCCCAGUGUAGCGGUGAAAUGCGUAGAUAUUGGGAGGAACACCGGUGGCGAAGGCGGCUCUCUGGACCGGUACUGACGCUGAGGCGCGAAAGCUAGGGGAGCAAACGGGAUUAGAUACCCCGGUAGUCCUAGCUGUAAACGUUGAGCACUUGGUGUGGCGGGUAUCGACCCCUGCCGUGCCGAAGCUAACGCAUUAAGU
rnacentral:rRNA from 1 species